UACAGAGGGUGCGAGCGUUGUUCGGAAUUAUUGGGCGUAAAGCGCUGGUAGGUGGCUUGUUAAGUCGCGUGUGAAAGCUUCCGGCUCAACCGGAAAAGUGCGCGCGAAACUGGCGAGCUUGAGUGCCGGAGAGGGUCGCGGAAUUCCCGGUGUAGCGGUGAAAUGCGCAGAUAUCAGGAAGAACACCCGUGGCGAAGGCGG
rnacentral:rRNA from 1 species